rnacentral:rRNA from 1 species
GUAACACGUAGUCAACCUGCCCUGGAGACAUGGACAACCCCGGGAAACUGGGAUUAAUCCGUGAUAGGUCAUCUCAUCUGGAAGGAGAGAUGGCUUAAAGGGAUGCGCGGGCUUCUUCUGCGUAUUUGCUCCAGGAUGGGACUGCGUCCGAUCAGGCUGUUGGCGGGGUAAUGGCCCACCAAGCCAGUAACCGGUACGGGCCUUGAGAGAGGUGGCCCGGAGAUGGACACUGAGAGAAGGGUCCAGGUCCUACGGGGCGCAGCAGGCGCGAAACCUUCGCAAUGCGCGCAAGCGUGACGAGGUUAAUCCGAGUGAUUUCCGCUGAGGAGACCUUUUGUCUGCUGUAAAUAGGCAGGCGAAUAAGGGGAGGGCAAGCCUGGUGUCAGCCGCCGCGGUAAUACCAGCUCCUCGAGUGGUCGGGGCGAUUAUUGGGCCUAAAGCAUCCGUAGCCGGUUCCGUAGGUCCUCUGUUAAAUCCAACCGCCCAACGGUUGACCUGCAGAGGAUACCGCGAGAC